rnacentral:misc_RNA from 1 species
GAUGAAGAACGUAGCAAAAUGCGAUACUUGGUGUGAAUUGCAGAAUCCCGUGAACCAUCGAGUUUUUGAACGCAAGUUGCGCCCGAAGCCUUUUGGCCGAGGGCACGUCUGCCUGGGCGUCACGCAUCGCGUCGCCCCCCACAAUUCUCCGUAAAAGGAACAUGUGUUUUGGGGGCGGAUAUUGGUCUCCCGUGCUCAUGGCGUGGUUGGCCGAAAUAGGAGUCCUUUCGAUGGACGCACGAACUAGUGGUGGUCGUAAAAACCCUCGUCUUUUGUUUCGUGCUGUUGCUCGCAAGGUAAACUCUUUAAAAACCCCAAUGUGUCGUCUCUUGACGACGCUUCGACCGCGACCCCAGGUCAGGCAGGACUACCCGCUGAGUUUAAGCAUAUCAAUAAGCGGAGGA